rnacentral:lncRNA from 1 species
GAUGUGGAAAGGAGUUUGUGCCUCGGUUGGGAUAGAACCGAGGCGUAUAAGGUGAAGAAAAUUACAAAAAAAAUGCCAUUUUAAAAUUUAUUAUUAUUGUUUUAGAGGAGCAUAGGCAUCAGGUUAUUACUUAACCGAGGCGUAAAGGGGUGUAUUGCCUCGUUCAGAAGGAGAAACGAGGUAAUAACGCUCGCCAUAUCUACCCAGAUUCAAAAGUUUUUACCCUACUGUUCAUUUCUCCUCUUCAUCGCAUGCUCUCUUCUUCUUCGUCUCGCCCUCCAUUUUCUUCUGCUUCGUCCCACGAUGUCUUUCUAUUGUUUAUUUCUUCUCGCCCUCCAUUGUUGCUGCUUCCAUUGCUCUCGUGUUGGUGCUUCGCUUGACGAGUCCACGCCGCUACACUGGCCUGCCCGCUGCACUGCCCCUAACUGUCCUCGAUGCACCACCCCUGAACCGUCGUCGCUGCACCGCCCUCCCUACUCCACCAUCGCUGCAUGACGCCCUGCAAAACUGCCCCCGCUACACCGUUGGCCUUGGUUCCUUCCUCCACGACUUCCUCCACAUCAUGGGUCUUCU